rnacentral:rRNA from 1 species
GACGAACGCUGGCGGCGUGCUUAACACAUGCAAGUCGAACGGAAAGGCCCUGCUUUUGUUGGGUGCUCGAGUGGCGAACGGGUGAGUAACACGUGAGUAACCUGCCCUGGACUGUGGGAUAACUCCAGGAAACUGGUGCUAAUACCGGAUAGGAGCUCCUGCUGCAUGGUGGUGGUUGGAAAGUUUCCGCGGUUGGGGAUGGACUCUCGGCUUAUCAGCUUGUUGGUGGGGUAGUGGCUUACCAAGGCUUUGACGGGUAGCCGGCCUGAGAGGGUGACCGGCCACAUUGGGACUGCGAUACGGCCCAGACUGCUACGGGAGACAGCAGUGGGGAAUAUUGCACAAUGGGCGGAAGCCUGAUGCAGCAACGCCGCGUGCGGGAUGACGGCCUUCGGGUUGUAAACCGCUUUCGCCUGUGACGAAGCGUGAGUGACGGUAAUGGGUAAAGAAGCACCGGCUAACUACGUG